rnacentral:rRNA from 1 species
GACGAACGCUGGCGGCGUGCUUAACACAUGCAAGUCGAACGGAAAGGCCCUGCUUUUGUGGGGUGCUCGAGUGGCGAACGGGUGAGUAACACGUGAGUAACCUGCCCUUGACUUUGGGAUAACUUCAGGAAACUGGGGCUAAUACCGGAUAGGAGCUCCUGCUGCAUGGUGGGGGUUGGAAAGUUUCGGCGGUUGGGGAUGGACUCGCGGCUUAUCAGCUUGUUGGUGGGGUAGUGGCUUACCAAGGCUUUGACGGGUAGCCGGCCUGAGAGGGUGACCGGCGACAUGGGGACCAGGAUACGGCCGGGAGUCGUAGGGGGGGAAGCAGGGGGAAAGAUGGCACAAGGGGGGGACGCCGGAUGCAGCAACGCGGGGUGCGGGAGGACGGCAUCCGGGUUGGAAACAGAUUUCGCUGGUAACGAAGGGGGCGUGACGGUAAUGGGUAAGGAAGCACCGGCUAACUACGUG